AUUGAACGCUGGCGGCAGGCUUAACACAUGCAAGUCGAACGAGUGGCGGACGGGUGAGUAAUGCUUGGGAAUCUAGCUAAUGGAGGGGGAUAACUACGGGAAAAGACAGCUAAUACCGCGUACUAUAGGAGGAGCCGAUGUGGGAUUAGGUGGUUGGCGGGGUAAAGGCUCACCAAGCCGACGAUCAGUAGCUGGUCUGAGAGGAUGACCCGCCACACUGGGACUGAGACACGGUCCAGACUCCUACGGUAGGCAGCAGUGGGGAAUAUUGCACAAUGGGCGCAAGCCUGAUCCAGCCAUGUCGCGUGUCUGAAGAAGGCCUUCGGGUUGUAAAGGACUUUCGGCAAGGAGGCGUUACCUGCAGAAUAAGCACCGGCUAACUCCGUGCCAGCAGCCGCGGUAAUAC
rnacentral:rRNA from 1 species